UCCAGUGAUGAUGGCGGAGGGGCCACACCUGUUCCCAUACCGAACACAGAAGUAAAGUCCUCCAGCGUC
rnacentral:rRNA from 1 species